rnacentral:misc_RNA from 1 species
AAUAUUUUCAAGACUUUGCUAAUGGCCCAAGAUUUCAAGACCUUUGUCAAGCAGGAGUUAAAGGACUUAUUACAGCAAUUGAUCGCUUUGAACCCAAAAGGAGAUUUCGGCUCUCCACAUAUAGUCUUUUUUGGAUUAGGCAUGCCAUAAUACGAUCAAUGACACUCUCAAGCUUUACACGUGUCUCAUUUGGCCUUGAAUCAGUAAGAGUGGAGAUCCAAAAGGCCAAACUUGAGUUGUUGGUUGAGCUUCAAAGACAACCAACAGAGGAAGAGAUUAUUGAGAGGGUGGGAAUCUCCCCUGAGAGGUAUCAUGAAGUAAUGAGGGC